rnacentral:lncRNA from 1 species
UUAUAAUAACUCUCUAAACACACUCUCUCAAACUCUAGCCAACGAAUUUGCCUUGCCCAUAAGCUCCUAAUCAAAGCCCAGCCAUCACAAACAACAAAUCAGAAGCAUCAAAGCCAGAAAAAAAUCAAAAAUCGAAGCUAGAAAAGGUAUGAAAUUCCUUAAUUUUGAAAUCCUUCGAUUCGAUGUUAAUUGAUGCAAUUGAUUGUUUAAAGUAGUGUAAUAGGGAGUAUAUUAAUGUUCUGGGUUGUAAAAUCAUGAACCCAUAACAUCAAAGUGCACGAAUUUGAAGAUUUGAGCAAGUUGGAAAAACCGAAUUUUGUGAGUUUUGGGCAAAUGUCAAGACUUAUAUCUCUGUGAUUAUUUACUGUUUUUGUUGUUUAAAAGUUGUUAGGUGUAGCUGGUUAUGUGGUCUUUAGAUUCCAAAAGGAAUCAGGUCUAUAUCUAUUGUAUAUCGGGAUUUAUAAGCGGUCAAAGUGGGUUGACCGGCAUUGACCGGCUGUUUUUCAAACCCAGAAAAUAUUCUAAGUGUCCAGAAAAUAUUUUUUUGGAAACUGUCAGGCCUUAUAUCUCGGUCAUCUUUAAUGUGUUUUGUGUUCUAAAGGUUGAUAUGUGUAGCUUGUUAUGUGGUAUUUAAUCUCCAAAAAGAAUAAGGUCCAUAUAUAUUACGGAUUAAGAGUUAUUUAAGGUCAAAGUGGGUUGACCGGCAUUGACCAGAAAAUUCUGGGCAGCCCAGAAUUUUAUAAGUGUUAAUUUUUCUGACAAGGUUUGACCAUACUUUAGAUGCUUGAUUUCUUGUUCUUAUGAUGAUUUUAAGUGUUAGCAUUGUAUUCCUACAUGUUGUCUACACACUGGAAUUGAUAUAUCACAUAAACGUUACACGAUCAUCAAGUUAUAGAGGUCCAAAGUAGGCACCUCGAACUGUUCUUCGUGAAGAACAGCUUUGGUAGCUACUUUGAUGGCUGAUUUAUCCCAGAUCUGAUGUUUUUUUAGAGGUUAUGAUUAUUGGAGAUUGUAGUCUGGUAAUUCCUCUACAAGAUCCAAUUUAUAGAUUGUCCAAAUUCGUUAAGAUGAGAGAGUUAUUCACGGUCAAAGUAGGUCACUCGGUUCUGCCUUAUGAAAUCUGGGUAGGCUCAAGAACACCUAUAGCGACGGUUCUGUCGCUAUAGGUGCCUUUAGCGACAGUUAGCAUUUUUAUUUUCUGAAAAUUAAUUUAAAAAUUAGAAAAAUUAGAUUUUAAUUAUAAAAAAUACCAAAUAAAUUGUGAAAAAUUAUUUAAAAGUCUAAAAAAUAGUUUUUAACUAUUUUGAGUAUAUUUCAAAAAUAUUUAGUAUUUUUGGAAUAUAAAAGGUAUUUAUUUAUUUAAUUAUAAUAUUAAAUAAAUUAUUUAAAAAUAGUUUUAAUUCAUGAAAAAUCAUGAAAAAUUAUAUUAUGGUAUAAGAAAAUAUUUUAAGUUAUUUCCCAUGACUUUUAAUAUUUUGUGAUGAAUUUCAUUAAUUAAUUAUAUAUUAAUGAUAUUAAAGUUAUUUAAUGAUUAUAUUAAAUAAUUUAGUUUAAAAAUGAUUUUAAUAUUAUAAAAAUCAUUUUAAAUGAAAUUAAGGUAUUUAAAAAUAUUUUAAGUUAUAAAAUAUAACUUUUAAUAUUUAAAGGAUAAUUUCAUUAAUAAUUUAAUAUUAAUGAUAUUAAGAUAAUAUUAAUGAUAUUUAGUUUAUUUAAUAAUUAUUAUUAAAUAAAUAGUUUAAAAAUGGUUUUAUUUAUUUAAAAAUCAUUUAAAGAGGAUAUUAAGGAUUUAAAAAUAUUUUAAGUUAUAAUUAAUGACUUUUAAUAUUUGGAUGAAUAGUACAUUAAUAUUUAUAUAUUAAUGGUGAUUAUUUAAAAAUGAUUUUAAUUGUUUUAAAAAUCAUUUAAGGGUAAUAUAAAUGUUUUAAAAAUAGUUUGAGUUAUUAUAAAUAACUUUUAUAUUUUGGCAAUGGUUUCAUUAAUAGUUUAAUAUAAAUUAAUUAUUAAUGAUAAUGGAAUUGUUUAAUGUUUAAAUCAUUUAAUUAUGAUUCCGAUGUUUGAAAGUUAUAGCCGGCCAAACUAGCUGACUUGAGAACCGAUUAUGAAGUUAUGAAGUUUUGAGGAACACCUAUAGUAACAGUUAUAUCACUAUAGGCCCGGUAGUGACAGAUUUGAAUUAUUUUAAAUUUUUCAAUUUCUGGAAAAUUCGAAAAUGAUUAAAAAUAAAAUGUUUGAUAUUUACAGAUGUUGAGGUAUAGGAUAAGAGUCUUAGACUCAGUAUUUACCCGAUAAAGCUGUCGGUACGCCGACAAAUGUCAGACCCUAUAAUAGAAAGAAAAGACUUCUGUAAGAGCAUGGAUGAGAUAUUUGAAAAAUGUAUAAAAAUAUUUCAAGUAUAGAAUAUGAACUAAAAGUAUGAUCACUGCGAUUAUGUGAUGACGUGAUUAGACUAUGUGCUGACUGUAAUAGACAGUACUAUGUGUUAUGAUAUAUUGUUCUAAUCGAACGAAUGAUCUGAUUAUUGAUAGGUUGUGAUAAAGAGAUAAAACCUAAGUUGAGAUUUGUAAUCAGCGAAUCAGGCAAGUAUCUUACCUUUGCAUUUCCUUUAUGCAAUGGAC